rnacentral:tRNA from 1 species
CGCGGGGGGGAGCAGUUGGUAGCUCGUCGGGCUCAUAACCCGAAGGUCGUAGGUUCAAGUCCUAUCCCCGCAACCA